CUUAGUUCGUGGAGUGAUCUGUCUGCUUAAUUGCGUUUCAAAAUUUAACUUGAGGACCGGGUUUUGGUUUGGCUAGUGGUUCUACGAUGACUGUGAACUGUCAUGUCUUCGGAUGUGCGACUAUUGGUCUAGGAUCACAUGACUUGCCCCUGGGACUCUUUUGAACGCAACGGACGUGAUUGCAACCCCUUGUUGAGAUUAGAGAUAGUCUCGAUAUUCACUGGACAAACUGGCUGCUUUAUGCAGUCUUGUUGAAUGGUGGAUAAACUCGGGGGACUGCUGACUAUAACCAUUUCUCAAAACAGAGGAAGGUUGCGGCAAUAACAGGUCUGUGAUGCCCUCAGAUGUCCCGGGCUGCACACGUGCUACAAUGAGUGGCGCAAUGUGCUAAUGUUUAAGGGAUAAGAGUGUGGUCAGUAGAACGUCGGGAUUUCCCCUGACGUCUCCCCCGCACGAUUAUCAGCCUUCCCUUAACAGGGCGGGCAACCUUUUCAAAAUACUGGUUUGAUGUUAAAGUAUUGAGUCGUUUUUUUUGGAUGGUGGUUUGUUAACCAAUACCAUCCGGCAACUGCUCGCGAGUUUGUGGUUCUGGCGACUCA
rnacentral:rRNA from 1 species